GAGUUUGAUCAUGGCUCAGAACGAACGCUGGCGGCAGGCCUAACACAGCAAGUCGAACGAACCGUGCUCUUCGGAGCACUAUGUUAGUGGCGCACGGGUGAGUAACACGUGGGAACGUACCCUGUAGUACGGAAUAACCCAGGGAAACUUGGGCUAAUACCGCAUACGCCCUUAGGGGGAAAGAUUUAUCGCUAUAGGAUCGGCCCGCGUCUGAUUAGGUAGUUGGUAGGGUAACGGCCUACCAAGCCGACGAUCAGUAGCUGGUCUGAGAGGAUGAUCAGCCACACUGGGACUGAGACACGGCCCAGACUCCUACGGGAGGCAGCAGUGGGGAAUAUUGGACAAUGGGGGCAACCCUGAUCCAGCCAUGCCGCGUGAGUGAAGAAGGCCUUCGGGUUGUAAAGCUCUUUCGACGGGGACGAUGAUGACGGUACCCGUAUAAGAAGCCCCGGCUAACUUCGUGCCAGCAGCCGCGGUAAUAC
rnacentral:rRNA from 1 species